UACGUAGGGCGCAAGCGUUGUCCGGAAUUACUGGGCGUAAAGGGUGCGUAGGCGGUUCGUUAAGUCUGUUGUGAAAUCCCCGGGCUCAACCUGGGAAUGGCGAUGGAUACUGGCGAGCUAGAGUGUGUCAGAGGAUGGUGGAAUUCCCGGUGUAGCGGUGAAAUGCGUAGAGAUCGGGAGGAACAUCAGUGGCGAAGGCGGCCAUCUGGGACAACACUGACGCUGAAGCACGAAAGCGUGGGGAGCAAACAGG
rnacentral:rRNA from 1 species